rnacentral:rRNA from 1 species
GAUGAACGCUAGCUACAGGCUUAACACAUGCAAGUCGAGGGGAAACGACAUCGCAAGCUUGCUUUUGAUGGGCGUCGACCGGCGCACGGGUGAGUAACGCGUAUCCAACCUGCCCAUCACUUGGGGAUAACCUUGCGAAAGUAAGACUAAUACCCAAUGAUAUCUCUAGAAGACAUCUGAAAGAGAUUAAAGAUUUAUCGGUGAUGGAUGGGGAUGCGUCUGAUUAGCUUGUUGGCGGGGUAACGGCCCACCAAGGCAACGAUCAGUAGGGGUUCUGAGAGGAAGGUCCCCCACAUGGGAACUGGGACACGGUCCAAACUCCUACGGGAGGCAGCAGUGAGGGAUAUUGGUCAAUGGGCGAGAGCCUGAACCAGCCAAGUAGCGUGCAGGAAGACGGCCCUAUGGGUAGUAAACUGCUUUUAUAAGGGAAUAAAGUGAGGGUCGUAACUCUUUUUGUAUGUACCUUAUGAAUAAGGACCGGCUAAUUCCGUG